rnacentral:rRNA from 1 species
UACGUAGGGGGCAAGCGUUGUCCGGAUUUAUUGGGCGUAAAGAGCGUGUAGGCGGCUGGGUAGGUCCGCUGUGAAAACUCGAGGCUUAACCUCGAGACGUCGGUUGAAACCAUCUGGCUAGAGUCCGGAAGAGGAGAGUGGAAUUCCUGGUGUAGCGGUGAAAUGCGCAGAUAUCAGGAGGAACACCGGUGGCGAAGGCGGGUCUCUGGGCAGUAACUGACGCUGGAGGAGCGAAAGCGUGGGGAGCGAACAGG